rnacentral:rRNA from 1 species
ACUCCCUCUUUCUUCGUGCUUAACACAUGCAAGUCGAACGGAAAGGCCCUGCUUUUGUGGGGUGCUCGAGUGGCGAACGGGUGAGUAACACGUGAGUAACCUGCCCUUGACUUUGGGAUAACUUCAGGAAACUGGGGCUAAUACCGGAUAGGAGCUCCUGCUGCAUGGUGGGGGUUGGAAAGUUUCGGCGGUUGGGGAUGGACUCGCGGCUUAUCAGCUUGUUGGUGGGGUAGUGGCUUACCAAGGCUUUGACGGGUAGCCGGCCUGAGAGGGUGACCGGCCACAUUGGGACUGAGAUACGGCCCAGACUCCUACGGGAGGCAGCAGUGGGGAAUAUUGCACAAUGGGCGGAAGCCUGAUGCAGCAACGCCGCGUGCGGGAUGACGGCCUUCGGGUUGUAAACCGCUUUCGCCUGUGACGAAGCGUGAGUGACGGUAAUGGGUAAAGAAGCACCGGCUAACUACGUG